rnacentral:lncRNA from 1 species
CUCUUUCUCUUCUCCGACGCACCUUGCCCCCUCCACCCACUGCAAAGAAAGCAUUGUUUUAUCCUUGUUCUGUUGCCUUGAUCGGAAGGGAUUGUUAUACGGUAACAGAAAACAAAGAUUAUUGUGGAAGGGGAAAGGUUGAUCGUAGAUGUUGAUAGCUCGAUCCCGAACGAGAUCUGGUUCGUUUUGCGAUGAUUAGCUCGAUCCCGAAACUGAACAACAAGAUCAGGUUUCAUUUUGACGGUGCUGGGUUAUGGGGGUUGCAGAUCUGGGUUGAGG